rnacentral:lncRNA from 1 species
UUUAUUUAUUAAUUAUUUUGGUACCAAAUUUCUUUAUUUGAAGGAAUGGUACAAAUCAAAGAACUUAAGUGGAUGUUUUGGUACAACUUAUAGAAAAGGUAAAGGAAACCCUAACGUGCACGCACUGCCUUGGUGACCAAGGAAGGCACCCCACGGCUAUGGGGAAAUUAGCCUGAGACUUAGCUUUCAUUAUCACUGUCUCCCAGGGUGUGCUUGUCGAAGAGAUAUUCUGCCGAGCCAGAUUCGGGCGCUCCCAUCUUGCGCAAGUUGGUCACGUGGUCACUCAAUUCUUUGAUGGCUUUCACCUGCUCAUUCAGGUAAUGUGUCUCAAUGAAGUCACACAAAUGGGGGUCAUUUUUGUCAGUGGCCAGUUUGUACAGUUCCAGUAGUGACUGAUUCACAUUUUUUUCCAAAUAUAAUGCACACUCCAUCGCAUUCAGCCCGCUCUCCCAGUCAUCACAGUCUGGUUUCUUGAUAUCCUGAAGGAAGAUUCGGCCACCUCGUUGGUUCUGCAGCUUCAUCAGUUUCUCAGCAUGUUCCCUCUCCUCAUGAGAUUGGUAAAGAAAGUAUUUGGCAAAGUUCUUCAAAGCCACAUCAUCGCGGUCAAAGUAUAAGACAUGGACAGGGCACUAAUAUACACAUGAUGAUACUUAAUUCUCUCAGAAAACCUUUGGCAAAGACACUUUCUACAUCUUGAAGGCAAGGAAUCUGAAUCUUGAAGAGAUUAAAUGAAUUGUCCAAAGUCACGUGGGGGUUUGGGAGAAGGAAAAUCAUGAACACACAUUCUUCUACUCUGGAGAAGUGGGGAAGGUGACCUGGGAAACCAUCUGAAAGGGAGCAGGAUGGAUUCUAUAAAAUAUAGAGUGUUCAAUGAAAACAACCUGAUGCUCCUCCCAGUACCAUCACAUUUUUCUAGCUGCAUAUCCUUAGGAACCACAUUCUACUUGUGUAGGAGCUGCGACAGUAACCAACUCAUCCUGCCCUACUCACAGUAUAGCAUCUUUAGGCAUUGACUACAAUCAGCCAAGUCACCGGCUGAGGGGAAGAACAAGAACCAACCUUGAACUAUGAUCUAAGACAAGCUAUAUUUACAUAUGGCUGCUGCAAUGGUCUCCAGGUACAAUGAGACGAAGACUUACAAUAAAGAAUGUCAACUGAAGGAAAUGAAGAAGUAAAUAACCAGACAUAAUUGGCCCCUACUGCCCUCCCCUUGGCAGUUCCUCAAGAACUCUGUAGGAGUCAUCAUUACCUCAUUUAGUCUCCUCAGCAACAAAUAAGAGAAAUAUUAUCUCCAUUUUACAGAAGCACAGACUGCAGAGAUUGAGUUCCCCCAGGAGCACACAAGCUGUACUGUACCUAAGGUCCUAAAACAUAUUGGUGAUAUGGAAGGUAGACAAAAUGGCCAAAUAGAAGCCUUCACCCAUUGUUCUCCCUGCAGAAACACUAAAUUGAACAACUAUCCACACAUAAAUCACCUUCAUAUGAAGCAAAAAUCAGCCACAUUAAACAAUGAUGAGUUCAAAUGGAAACAUACAGCCUUUCAACACUGGCUCCAAGAGAUGGCAUCUAGAAGAAACAGACUGAUUCUGCAGAGUUCUGAAGGGAGCAGGUGACUUAGCAAUUCUGUCUUCAGUUUCUCUGUGAACAUCAUCAAUGUUUUCCUGUGCUCCAGUUGUCAAACUUCAUCAGCGAAAUGUUGGGGUCAUUUAAAGCUGCUGCUUUGCAUUCACUGAAACGACUAACAACCACAAGGAAACAUGAUUUCUCCGACAGCAAUGAAUAAAACAAUUGCCUGACUAAAGAGGAGAUAUCCUCUUUAGAUAAAACGACUGAAGACCCAUUACCAAAAUAGGGAAAAAGAAACAAUCUCUAUGAAAGAGUUU